GACGAACGCUGGCGGCGUGCUUAACACAUGCAAGUCGAACGAUGAAACCUAGCUUGCUAGGUCGAUUAGUGGCGAACGGGUGAGUAACACGUGACUAACCUGCCCCUUUCUCUGGGAUAACGCUCCGAAAGGAGUGCUAAUACCGGAUACUCACAUCGAGGCACAUGCCUUGAUGUGGAAAGUUUUUCGGAAAGGGAUGGAGUAGCGGCCUAUCAGUGUGUUGGUGGGGUAACGGCUCACCAAGGCGACGACGGGUAGCCGGCCUGAGAGGGCGACCGGCCACACUGGGACUGAGACACGGCCCAGACUCCUACGGGAGGCAGCAGUGGGGAAUAUUGCACAAUGGGCGCAAGCCUGAUGCAGCGACGCCGCGUGAGGGAUGAAGGUCUUCGGAUUGUAAACCUCUUUCAGUAGGGACGAAGCGAAAGUGACGGUACCUAAAGAAGAAGCACCGGCUAACUACGUGCCAGCAGCCGCCGUAA
rnacentral:rRNA from 1 species